ACUCACUCAUAAAUGGAUAUUAAAUGUAAAGCAAAGAAUAACCAGACUACAACCCACAACUCCAAAGAAGCUGGCUAACAAGGAAGACCCUAUAGAUCAAACAGUGAAGGCGAAAUAGAUGAGAUCAACAUGAGCAAACUGAGGUAGAUGGGAAUCAACACAGAGAUCAACAACUGGUCAAAAUGCAGAGUGAGAGACUUUGGACCACCUAGUCAUAAAUUGGAUGUCUUCAUCAAACCUCCUCCAUCAAGGCUCAGUGUUUAUGUAGAAAAGGAAGCAGAAUGAUUAUAAGAGCCAGUGCUUAUGGAUAAGGUCAAGGAAACUUUGGCUUCCAGACACAACAGGACCAAGACCAAUGCACAUAUGAACUCAAAGACUACGCCCAUACACAGAUGAUUUGCCCAGGUUCCAACAAGACAGGGUGCCAGCACUAAGAGGCAGAAGAAGACACAGGCUGCCAUCCAUAACCAGGACACAGUUUGUAAUUGAUAGCUGUUGGCAAAAGGAAAAAUCAGUGUUCUACUUGAAGCAUCACUGGGUAUAUCAAAGGCACUCCAGAGAAGACACUAUGACCAGGGGAAGUUGAUCAACACAAAGGAAGCAGUGUUCAAUUUUGUGUUUGUGGUAUUGUUGGGGGCUGAUUGUUCUCUUGUGGCAUGUUUGUCUUAUUGGUUGUAAGUUUGUAUUUUCAAUUUGG